AUUGAACGCUGGCGGCAGGCUUAACACAUGCAAGUCGAGCGGGGUGAUGGUGCUUGCACUAUCACUUAGCGGCGGACGGGUGAGUAAUGCUUAGGAAUCUGCCUAUUAGUGGGGGACAACAUCUCGAAAGGGAUGCUAAUACCGCAUACGUCCUACGGGAGAAAGCAGGGGAUCACUUGUGACCUUGCGCUAAUAGAUGAGCCUAAGUCGGAUUAGCUAGUUGGUGGGGUAAAGGCCUACCAAGGCGACGAUCUGUAGCGGGUCUGAGAGGAUGAUCCGCCACACUGGAACUGAGACGCGGCCCAGACUCCUGCGGGAGGAGGCAGUGGGGAAUAUUGGAUAAUGGGGUGAACCCUGAUCCAGCCAUGCCGCGUGUGUGAAGAAGGCCUUAUGGUUGUAAAGCACUUUAAGCGAGGAGGAGGCUCUUUUGGUUAAUACCCAAGAUGAGUGGACGUUACUCGCAGAAUAAGCACCGGCUAACUCUGUGCCAGCCGCCGCAGUAA
rnacentral:rRNA from 1 species